rnacentral:rRNA from 1 species
CCUACGGGCGGCAGCAGUCGAGAAUCAUUCACAAUGGGGGAAACCCUGAUGGUGCGACGCCGCGUGGGGGAAUGAAGGUCUUCGGAUUGUAAACCCCUGUCAUGUGGGAGCAAAUUAAAAAGAUAGUACCACAAGAGGAAGAGACGGCUAACUCUGUGCCAGCAGCCGCGGUAAUACAGAGGUCUCAAGCGUUGUUCGGAAUCACUGGGCGUAAAGCGUGCGUAGGCUGUUUCGUAAGUCGUGUGUGAAAGGCGCGGGCUCAACCCGCGGACGGCACAUGAUACUGCGAGACUAGAGUAAUGGAGGGGGAACCGGAAUUCUCGGUGUAGCAGUGAAAUGCGUAGAUAUCGAGAGGAACACUCGUGGCGAAGGCGGGUUCCUGGACAUUAACUGACGCUGAGGCACGAAGGCCAGGGGAGCGAACGGGAUUAGAUACCCCAGUAGUC